CAUCUUCCAUCUUGGCUUGUUUUCUUCUCCCAGCUGAUUUUUGAGACGGCUGUUCUAAGUAGCAUCAGGACGCCCCUGUAUUCUGGAAUGCCUGUUUUCCACAGAAUCAUUAUUAGCUUUUCUGAUUUCACUAUAAACUGUUUCAGUCCCCUUCUGUACAGGAGCUCUAUGAGGAUCAAGCGUUGACACUUCAACUUCAGUGUACUCCACCUCAGCACUCUC
rnacentral:lncRNA from 1 species